GGAAUGUAGUUCAGGGGGAGAGCAUUUGCUCUGCAUGUAGACCGUCCCAGGUUCAAUUCAUGGUAUGUCCA